AUGAAGGGGCGGUUGGGAGCUCUGAAAGGUUCUACGGCUGCUUGUCCAGAGAGCCCCACUACACCCAAGGAUCCCAUUGUGGAAUUGAUAGACAGCGAUGAUGAUGCGUUUGACAAGAUUGCUGGCAUGGGAAGAGUCACCAGGAGCGAUGCUGCCAAAGGUUUAUCUCCCCUUGCUGGAAUAGUGGCUCGUAUAGCUGGUGGUGCUAGGAAGGAUCUUGCUUUGGAUUCUGGGAAUGUUUUAAGCACGAAGCGUGCACCCAGAGCUCCUAUAAAGUUUUGCUCCCCUGUGCAGCAGCUUCGGCCUCAUAAUUUGCCUCAUAUCGACAAGGCUCGCAAGUUGUAUAAUCUGUUGCUUAGUGAUGAAGCAUGUGAGAAGUAUGCUGAGAAUACAUUCUCAAUGAUACCUCAGCCUUAUGAUAGUGUAACUAGCUUCACUGGGAAACGCAUCUGGGAAGUUUUUGCACCUGGGCAAAUGAUGGAGGGUGAUGUUGUGCUUGACUGUACGUUUUACGGUGAUGAAAAUAAAGUGUUUAAUGUGGAGAGUGCAGUGAGAGAUUUCAAGAGCUAUGUCAAAGAAAAGGAAGACUUGCUCAGUGCUGACCUUAUCAUGAUGCCUCUAUUCAAGCCUAUGGUUUUACCAAAGGAUAAGAAAGUGAACCACUUUUCCUUAUAUGCCAUGAAUCGGUACCGAAGUAGCGUUGACAUCCUUGAUUCUUUACCUUAUCCGAAGAACCAUCAUCCUUCAAAGAACACCUAUCAUAAAGACUGCGAGAAGAUUAUCUCCAGGUUGGUCCAAGUAAGGAAGGCUGUGUAUGGUGAUGCUCAGUACAAUGCGAGCAAGUAG
rnacentral:rRNA from 1 species